CAAGUCGAGCGCCCCGCAAGGGGAGCGGCAGACGGGUGAGUAACGCGUGGGAAUCUACCAUUUGCUACGGAACAACAGUUGGAAACGACUGCUAAUACCGUAUGUGCCCUUUGGGGGAAAGAUUUAUCGGCAAAUGAUGAGCCCGCGUUGGAUUAGCUAGUUGGUGGGGUAAAGGCCUACCAAGGCGACGAUCCAUAGCUGGUCUGAGAGGAUGAUCAGCCACACUGGGACUGAGACACGGCCCAGACUCCUACGGGAGGCAGCAGUGGGGAAUAUUGGACAAUGGGCGCAAGCCUGAUCCAGCCAUGCCGCGUGAGUGAUGAAGGCCCUAGGGUUGUAAAGCUCUUUCACCGGUGAAGAUAAUGACGGUAACCGGAGAAGAAGCCCCGGCUAACUUCGUGCCAGCAGCCGCGGUAAUACGAAGGGGGCUAGCGUUGUUCGGAUUUACUGGGCGUAAAGCGCACGUAGGCGGACUUUUAAGUCAGGGGUGAAAUCCCGGGGCUCAACCCCGGAACUGCCUUU
rnacentral:rRNA from 2 species